CAUUUGACUGUGGAACACUUUCUUCCCAGAUCGUCUCUUUUCAAGAUUAGUUUCCAUGGAACACACUUUGGGAAAUGCUGCCUGACAACUUUUACAAGAGUCUAACCACUGGAUUUACACAUUAAUUCAUACUCCAUUAUCCAUACCUGGGAACUCUCCUCUCAAAGAACAGUCAUUUCUCAAGGAGGAACCUUCAUUCUGCUUAGGGAAUCUGUGGUUUAAUUCAGGGAAGUGUUGCCAUGCUAUUUGGCCAGAGUUAGCCAUGUCCUCCAAUAUAGCUUUAUCAAUAGUAAAGGUGAUAUUUUCAUUUCCAUGUGUCUGAAUCUUGUGUCUCUCAAUUUGUUCAAAACUCAGGCAGACUGUUUUUACUGGGCUCAUUAAAACUCUAACAUAGACCCAUUAAAAUGGGGUUCUCCCAGACACAUUUUGAAAACUACUGCUGGAGGUUAAUGGAAAGCCAGGAACAACAGGAUCAAAUCAAGAGCUAAUGGAGGCAGGGAGACCUGAUCGAGUCCAGGAAAAUGAUGCUUGGGACCUGAUCCAGGGCGGAGAUGGUGAGGGGAGAGAGGAGGUCUCAGAGGGGCAGAUAGGUGGGCAGGACUUGAUGACUGAUGGCUCUGGGGCAGAGGGGAGCUGAGGAUGAUGUCCUUGUUGCUGACUUGGGUGACAGUGUGGAUGGAGCUGCAUGAAGAGGAAUAAAGGGAGAAGGUCAGUUGCGAUCUUGGCUGAGCUGUGUGUCCUUAACUCUUAAGAGUAAAGGAGGAGAAGCGUACCAUUGGCAAUAAGGAAGAAGAGGGAAAUUAUGAGACUAGGGUGAGGCUUUUGAAAGAAAAUCCUUUUCUGGGGUCGGAUUGGAAAACUAUAAACACAAGACACAUGUCAAGAGAAGCCUUCUCUUUGGGGCUUGACCCUGGAGGCUGCUUCACUCCAGUUCCUAUCCAGGCCCACAACUUGGGAGGUGACAUUAGCAGUUUCUCAAGCAAGAAGAGUAUUCUAAUUCAGGAGGUAAUUUGAAGAUGGAGGCAGACAUUGAAGUUGUAGGGGAGGAAGACAUUUCCUUUUCCCAAAUGGGGGUUCGUCUGGCUGGAGAACAAAUUAAAUUCACAUGAGACAGAAUAGCAAGAGAAAAUUAAACAAAGCUUUAUGAGGAACCAUGGCCUGGGGCCUUUCUUCCCGAAGGAAGAAAGGGCACCGAAGAAGUGGGGUGCACAUAGUGGUUAUAUAUCCCCAAACAGGGUGUUUCACAUGUGAUUGAAAUGUCCCUCCCACAAUAGUCACAAGAUUGUCCUGUCGGCACAGCGCUUGAUGGACACAGCAGGUAAUGGUCUGCUAUCUCGGUGGGCGUAGCAGGAGGCAAGUGGAUUGUCUGGAGCUGGGCGGUCACAGGCUGGCUCUCUCCAGUUCUUCACUCAUGUGGCCAAAACAGACGCUGUUGACCUGACCCGUCUUCACAUCACAUUUCGAGUCCCUAACAGACCAAUAAAUGGCUCUGUGGCCUGAUUCCAAAUUCCAUGGAGAGAGAAUCCCUCAGUCUUGGUCCAAUCAACUCCUGUCCACGGGUGAGAACUUGUAUCUGGGGCCUUCGUUUGUGGGUAAAGAGCCUGCUGGCAAAUAUCCUUAAAGGUUUCUCUGUGAGCACCAAAUAUAGUUUUAAAGAGCAGACAACCUCCACUUAUCCACCAACCUGGCAGGUCAGGGGGAAUCUAGCCUUCUUUUCAAAUUUUCUGUCCUGCAUUAGACAAUGUCCUUAGCCUUUUAACCUUCUGUCUCCUUAAACGCCUCUCCCCAGCAUAAACCCAUCAUAUCGCUGAGGGGGGAAAAAGCAGACGAAAAGAUUAGAUUCUCUUCCUGUUCUAAACAUGAAGUUAAUCUACUGGAAAAAAACCAUUAUUGAUUUUUAUCUUUUAUAGUCUUCUCCUGAAACAACAAUUGUGUGCUACAAUUGGCAAAAUACUUGGCUUGUUUUGGACUCAGAUCUUAAUUUUUAAAGAUUCCUGUUUGUUGUUUUUUUCAUGUUGCCUUCAAAGGGCUACUUUCGGCCAAGUGCCAUGGGAGAUAUUUGGAGGUUGAAGGAUUUUCCUUUGCCUUUAAUGCUUUGAUCAGCAAAGCAAAGCCUCAAACAGAAAUCCAAGCCAGGCAGGAGGGUGGCAGAGCGGGAGAACGGGUUCUGGGGAGCGUCCCAUUCCUUGAACUUCCUUCAGUAAUCAAGGAGACCUUGUGUGGUGCCCCCUAAGUGCUGGGCGUUGAGCUGGAGCUAGGCUUACAGAGGGCAAUCAGCUGGACAUCGCGUGUCCCACCUGGAGCGUACAGCCGUGGGAGAGGCAGGCAGAGAUAAAGAAAAUGAGGCAAGUGAAGACAUGCUUGCAUGCUAUAACAAAGGUCACGGAGGAGAGGUGCCUGGCACAGUGACAGUGCAUAACUUGCGCAAUUAGCCCAAGGGAUCAGAGAAGCCUUCUGAGGGAGGCACAUUUCCCUGAGAUCUGAAGGGUGAGUAGGUGUUUAACUAGAUGAAGCUCCUGGGGGUGGGAAGGUGGGGGAUAUUCCAGGCAAAGGGAACAUUGCAUGCAGAUAUUUAUUAUGCCAUCCAGGGAGAAACCCAUAAAAUGUAGAUUAGAGACAUACAGAGACCCACAGACUCAUGAAGGAAUGAGACAGCAUGCAGUUAUGGUCUGCUUUUUUGCCGUCUGCAGGUACAAGAGGCUGCAGGAGCUUUUCCACCAGGUCUCUGACCCCAUGUAGAUCUCCUGAGAGCACUGCAAGAGGCUCCCAGAAUCCCUGGCCUUGUUGAGUGCCCUCAGGGCUCUCUCUGGGUCAGCAUCCUCAAGAGCGUAUCAAGGAGCUGUGGGUCCACAAGAGCCUAGGCAGACAGGAAACAGUAGAUUUUGUCAGAAGGAAAGCUAAUUCUGAAAAGAGGAGCUAUUUUGCUCUCUUUUAUCUUGUCUCUAAAGGGAGAAGAUGGGGUUCUUUGGGCAUGGGAAUAUGCCCACUUGAGCUCUUCCUAUCUGAAGUCUAAAUAUCUUAGGUGUGCCCACCUGAGGUCUGCAUAGCUGAGCUUUUCCCCCCUGAGGUGUGCUUAUGUGAAGUGUGCCCACCUGAGGUGUGCCCGUCCUGCUGAGAAGGCCACCUGGAGGAGUAACUUGAUCACCCCAGAGCAAGAUCAUCAUGGGAAAAAGUAGAGGACAUGAGUAGGGGGCACUUGACCUCUUCCCAGGACUCUUUCUUGGCCGUCCCUGAUGGCCCACUCCUUCCUGUGUCUCCCAGGAGCCUGGGAUGCACCUCUCUCUCAUGGCCUGCUUUAUAACGCUCUGCCUACUUGUCUGUCUCCCCAACUAGUCUCUGGGCUCCUUGAGGGAUUGUGUCUUUUUCAUUUUUAUUCUCUGUCUAGCCCCUGACAUUUACAUGAUAAGCAUUCGAUAAAUAUUUAUUAAGGGAACGAGUACAUGAACCUUAUUAAUUUACACUCUGCUUUAGUCUCAAACAUUUUGAGGUGGAAUCAUGUUGCUUAGAAGUAGAUAAAUGGGAUUAAAUGAAGGGUAUUCCUCACAUUGCCUUGCACGUGGUGGGCACUCCAUCGUGACUCACCAACAGUGGUCAUAAAUGUCUCCACGCUCUGCUACUUAUAUGUAGCACAAUUUAUUUCUGAAUGGCAUUGAUUUUGUAACAGAGCAGUCCUUUGGGGGAGCCUUCAUAUAUCCCUACGCUGAUUAUUUCACUGAGGCAGAGAUCCUCCAAGUACCAUUCUCUUUGUACAUAAGAUCAUAUACUUCUGCCCUUUGAUUGAAGAUAGGACAUGGGUGUUUUUGUCCUAUCCCUGACUCUUGUAGGUCAGGCCCACGGGUUCCCCUAUUUUUGCAUGUGUGUAUCUGUUCAGGAAACAAAGGCUGAAAGUCCGUCAGCAAAGGCAAUUGAGGUUCCUGUGUCUCAUUCUUGCAUAAUGAGUCCUGUCAGUUAAGGCCACACAAGGGUGGGAGGAGUGGCAGCUUGCCAACCUGCUCUGUGGCAUUUGGAUAAACAAACACCAAUAUUUAUCAGAGCUGCUCUGUUGUCCUUCCUCAUCUGCUGGGACAGGGAGCCCUCCCUGUGCUUGUAUAUAGUUUUCUCUGUAUGAGAUAAAUGUUUGGGGCCAUUAACAGAAAAAAAAUGUUUGUACUCUGCUCCCCUGUUACCUAGGCUAAUUUACCGCACCAGGAGGACUUGUAGUUCAUUAAUAAUAUACAAAUACAAACCAAAGGAAGAAAUUGCCUUGUUAAUUGACUUUUGCGAUGCUAAUCUAAGACUCAUUGGCUUUAAACAUUACCCAACAACUGUGCUUGUACCACACACCUUGGAGAAAACAGAAAACUGUCCAACACAAAUGCUUGAAAUCAUUGCCUCUGGGUUUUAUAAACCCACACUCACCGCCACUGGUUUUCUUUAGAAAUCCAGAGGUAGAAGACACAAAGAAAAGAGACAAAGAGUUGAGGAUAGACUCAACCAUUCUAGAAUACAGCCCAGACAUGCUGCAAGUGAAGGCCAGGCUACCCUGGGCCAUGCUGGGCUGUGCUGGGCUGUGUAGGGUGUUGCCAGCCUCCCCAUCUCAGUCCAGAUUGAUUAGAUACAAAGAUUAAUUAGAAACGGUACUAUUAGGCUCAGUUGACUGGUCCAAUUAGGAGCAAAAUGUAUCAGUCUUAGAAACCAAAUUUCCUCCACUGACAUCCCUAGGCCAGCCUUCUGUCCCUUGUCCUCUCUGAUCAUUGCCUGUGGAGGAGACAUGAAACUUCUAUCAGUUCAUUAAUAAUGAACUGAGAGGUAGUAGAGUUGAGUGAUGAGGUUUCCCAGGACAGCCUUGAUGGUCAAAUGGACCUGGAUUUGAAUCGUACCCAUUCUCUCUUUCCCUGUGACCACCAAUCACCCACCCCUACAAGUCUAGAGCCAGAGUUUCAAGUCUGUGAAUGUGACGUAGGCAGUAGCAACCUCGUCAUCCUCUUUGAGUCUGCCAGGGCCACCUGGGUGACGAACCUGGCUCCUCCUUGAAGAAGCCACCCACCCAUGGCAUGGGGAGCCGUAUUUGUUUUACUGUAGAUUUCACAGGGCAGGCGGAGGGGAGCCUUUUCGUUGCCACAACCUUAACCCUCCUGCUUGAUUUCUCUGUUCUCCCGAGCUCCUCCUUGACCGCUCUGCCUCUGGGAUUUCUUCUCUCUGACUUGCCCUUUGGAGUCUUCUAGUUCCUCUCCCUCUCGCCUUUCUUGAUUUAAAGAAUAAAAGACAGAAAUUUGGAUCCGGUGUGCAAAGCUUGAGAUUCAUCUUUCUAUUCUGUAAAAUGGAGAUGAAAAUAAUUCCUAUCUUGUAAUGUGAGAGAGAGAAUUAAAUGAGAAUUAAGUAAAUGAACUCUAAAGCAAUGUUUUUCCAACAUGAGCCAUUUGAAAUCAGUUUAAUCAGUUGCUACUAGCAUUAAAAAAAAAAAAAAAGUAGGAUAAAAUAGAAAAUAUCAGAGGGCAUCGUGUGUAGUAGGGGUAGAUUUUAUUUGUGACUCUUUUCUUUCAGUGUUAUAUAUGUAUGUGCAUGUGUGUGUGACCACUGGUGGAUAUAAAAUGGAUUUUUUACUGUAGGUUAUGGUAAAAAACGUUUGAAGUAUUUGUCAUUAAAAUUCACCUUCAGCCUGGAGGAGGUGAUCUCUGAGACUUAGUCACAAAACCCUAAUGUUGAAAAGAUCAGAGACCCCUGAUCCAGCCUCCUGCCAGGAGGCUAUGACGUCCCACCAAAGGCACAUUCUAACAGCCCAAGGACUUAAUUCUGUUCACAAAUAUUUUUGUUAGGUUCACAUAGCAUUUAUGAAAAAUUUUUGAACUAAUUACUAUCUUUUGAAAAUCAGGAGAUAAGACAUCAAAAUCUAGAUUUUCAGCUUCUCCGGAAAAUUUGGGAGAGUUGGCUAUACCGGGCAUCUUUCCUGCAGGGUCUACCCCACCUGCAUCCUCAUUUAUCUCCUGCCUGGGCUCUGGGAGCACACAAGGCUUACUCCUUGACCUGAAGUCCUCCCCCUACCUAAGGCUUUAUGUUUCUUUUAAAGAAUCACAAAACUGGAACAUACUCGAGGGUUCCUUUGGUCCAAACCUUCAUUUGUGGGUGGAGGAAAGAGGCCCGGGGGAGGAGGAGGUAACUCAUCCAAGGUCACAUGGAUCAUUGGUGAUGUGGAUGGGAAAAGCAUGCAGGUUUCCUUCUUCCUGGGUCAGUGCCCUGUUCAGCCCUCGGGAACAAGUGGCCACCAUCCUCGUAAAAACUGAGACUUUCUUAAGCGAUGUGUUGAUUCACCUCAAAGGUCAUCAGCCCUCACUUUUUCCCUCUGUCUCAGCCAAGUCAAAUAUUUACCUUGCAAAAGUGAAAUUGGAUCCAGAAUGGUUCCUGCUUGUCUUAACACUGUAUUUGCGUGGCUCCAUCUUUGCCCUCCGUGACUUUCCUCAUGGCCUUGCCGUGACUGCGGCCGCUUAAGUACAGCUUCUGCAGGCGGAAGACACCUGGGCAAAGGGAUUCACCCGUGUGGGUGUUUGGAAAGGAUGUGUACCCCCAACGUUGUCUGGCUAUUUCUUUCACUCCAUUUCAGUUGAAGGACAG
rnacentral:lncRNA from 1 species